UUAGUCAUUAAUUACGGUUCC
rnacentral:piRNA from 1 species